GUCAGCCCAAGUCCACUCCCACACUCACCAUGUUUCCACCUUCCCCUGAGGAGCUCCAGGAAAACAAAGCCACACUCGUGUGUCUGAUUUCCAAUUUUUCCCCAAGUGGUGUGACAGUGGCCUGGAAGGCAAAUGGUACACCUAUCACCCAGGGUGUGGACACUUCAAAUCCCACCAAAGAGGACAACAAGUACAUGGCCAGCAGCUUCUUACAUUUGACAUCGGACCAGUGGAGAUCUCACAACAGUUUUACCUGCCAAGUUACACAUGAAGGGGACACUGUGGAGAAGAGUCUGUCUCCUGCAGAAUGUCUCUAA